rnacentral:rRNA from 1 species
UACGUAGGGGGCAAGCGUUGUCCGGAAUCAUUGGGCGUAAAGAGCGCGUAGGCGGUCCGGUAAGUCCGCUCUGAAAGUCCGGGGCUCAACCCCGGGAGGCGGGCGGAUACUGUCGGGCUAGAGUCCGGAAGAGGCGAGUGGAAUUCCUGGUGUAGCGGUGAAAUGCGCAGAUAUCAGGAGGAACUCCAAUGGCGAAGGCAGCUCGCUGGGACGGUACUGACGCUGAGGCGCGAAAGCGUGGGGAGCAAACAGG